GAUGAACGCUGGCGGCGUGCCUAACACAUGCAAGUUGAGCGAUUUACUUCGGUAAAGAGCGGCGGACGGGUGAGUAACGCGUGGGUAACCUGCCUCAUACACAUGGAUAACAUACCGAAAGGUAUGCUAAUACAAGAUGAUACAAGAGAUUCGCAUGGAUUUCUUAUCAAAGCUUUUGCGGUAUGAGAUGGACCCGCGUCUGAUUAGCUAGUUGGUAAGGUAACGGCUUACCAAGGCGACGAUCAGUAGCCGACCUGAGAGGGUGAUCGGCCACAGUGGAGAUGAGACACGGUCCAAACUCAUACGGGAGGCGGCAGUGGGGAAUAUUGCACAAUGGGCGAGAGCCUGAUGCGGCAACGCGGCGUGAGCGAUGAAGGCCUUCGGGUCGUAAAGCUCUGGCCUCAAGGAAGAUAAUGACGGUACUUGAGGAGGAAGCCCCGGCUAACUACGUGCCAGCCGCCGCAGUAAAAC
rnacentral:rRNA from 1 species